ACGCUGGCGGCAUGCUUUACACAUGCAAGUCGGACGGCAGCACAGAGAAGCUUACUUCUUGGGUGGCGAGUGGCGAACGGGUGAGUAAUAUAUCGGAACGUACCGAGUAAUGGGGGAUAACUAAUCGAAAGAUUAGCUAAUACCGCAUAUUCUCUGAGGAGGAAAGCAGGGGACCUUCGGGCCUUGCGUUAUUCGAGCGGCCGAUAUCUGAUUAGCUAGUUGGUGGGGUAAAGGCCUACCAAGGCGACGAUCAGUAGCGGGUCUGAGAGGAUGAUCCGCCACACUGGGACUGAGACACGGCCCAGACUCCUACGGGAGGCAGCAGUGGGGAAUUUUGGACAAUGGGCGCAAGCCUGAUCCAGCCAUGCCGCGUGUCUGAAGAAGGCCUUCGGGUUGUAAAGGACUUUUGUCAGGGAAGAAAAGGCUGUUGCUAAUACCGACAGCUGAUGACGGUACCUGAAGAAUAAGCACCGGCUAACUACGUGCCAGCAGCCGCGGUAAUACGUAGGGUGCGAGCGUUAAUCGGAAUUACUGGGCGUAAAGCGAGCGCAGACGGUUACUUAAGCAGGAUGUGAAAUCCCCGGGCUCAACCUGGGAACUGCGUUCUGAACUGGGUGACUAGAGUGUGUCAGAGGGAGGUAGAAUUCCACGUGUAGCAGUGAAAUGCGUAGAGAUGUGGAGGAAUACCGAUGGCGAAGGCAGCCUCCUGGGAUAACACUGACGUUCAUGCUCGAAAGCGUGGGUAGCAAACAGGAUUAGAUACCCUGGUAGUCCACGCCCUAAACGAUGUCAAUUAGCUGUUGGGCAACUUGAUUGCUUAGUAGCGUAGCUAACGCGUGAAAUUGACCGCCUGGGGAGUACGGUCGCAAGAUUAAAACUCAAAGGAAUUGACGGGGACCCGCACAA
rnacentral:rRNA from 1 species